AUUUAUAUAAUAUAUUUAGUAUAUUUGACUUCCAAUCAAGCAGUUUAAAAUUCAUUUAAUAUAAAUA
rnacentral:tRNA from 1 species